rnacentral:tRNA from 1 species
ACGAAACGUUCGGAUAUGGUCGAGAUGAUGGCCUUUGAAAAAUGCAAGAUAGCGUCAACUAUCUUGUAACCUGGUUCAAGUCCAGGCGUUCCGUAC